GACGAACGCUGGCGGCGUGCUUAACACAUGCAAGUCGAACGGAAAGGCCUCUUUCGGGGGGUACUCGAGUGGCGAACGGGUGAGUAACACGUGAGUAACCUGCCCUUGACUUUGGGAUAACUUCAGGAAACUGGGGCUAAUACCGGAUAGGAGCUCCUGCUGCAUGGUGGGGGUUGGAAAGUUUCGGCGGUUGGGGAUGGACUCGCGGCUUAUCAGCUUGUUGGUGGGGUAGUGGCUUACCAAGGCUUUGACGGGUAGCCGGCCUGAGAGGGUGACCGGCCACAUUGGGACUGAGAGACGGCCCAGACGCCUACGGGAGGCAGCAGUGGGGAAUAUUGCACAAGGGGUGGAAGCCUGAUGCAGCAACGCCGUGGGCGGGAGGACGGCCUUCGGGUUGUAAACCGCUUUCGCUCAUGACGAAGCUUUGUGUGACGGUAGUGGGUAAAGAAGCACCGGCUAACUACGUG
rnacentral:rRNA from 1 species